CUUAAAGCGCCUUAUAGGAGGUCCCACCAAUAUACAGCCUCCACGACUCGCUUGUUCCCACGAUCUCAUCUGCGCGGCGCUGCCCCCGAAAUUCCCCAUCGGGCUGCUGCACGAGUUCCCGGAAUUGCGGCAUACCGGUGGCAUCAGAUGCGCGCCCUGGGCGCAGCCGGCAGGGUACACCGUCGUCGCGCCCGACACGAACAGGUACGACGGCUCCAACUUUCCCCACGUCAUGCAGGACCAGUACACCGUGCUGCAUGUCGUCGGCAACAUCGUCUGCCCAUCGAAUCCCUCGGCGAGAAGCACCUCUUCGUGGUGGCACAUGACCGAGGCCUGAUGAUAGCUGGGAGCAUGUGCUUGUUCCGGCAGGACAUGGUUAAACGUUGGCCGCGUUAGCCGUGGACAGCUCCAUGUCUUUGUUACAAAGACUCACAUCUGCCGCAUUCAGGAGCAGGACUGCAAGCUGCACUAGACGGGCGAAUGCGACAACUGGGACCGCCCCAGCAACAAGAGCAUGUAACUAUACUGCUGCAUGUAGGUAUUAUAUUCAGAGUCCGUAGUCACAACAUAAGUUGAGCAAAGCUAACCUACAGUCGUUACUCGUCGUACAGUACGGUGUUCUUUGGGAUGUGUAGGAACUGUGGGCGUGGCAGAGCUCGACUACACCGCCCGCCCAUUCCCCGGCAAGAGCUUUGUCAACAGAUUCCACUGGCUCGCACCAGAUGUCUGAACUCCCAAACAGUUUCCAGCACCACAGAUUGCACAGACGAGAUACAUUCAUACUGCACAUUACAAGCAUAGAAGGCUAGCACAGAUAUCAAGGAACUUGUUUUAAACUUCCAAAGGGCAGCUACUAGUUAUCAGUGAAAGCACAGGCACGGCUGUGUCUGUACCCGACCCUGCAGUGUUACCGAAUUUUUAUGUUAAGUCAUCUCGGAACCAAACAGCAAGGCUGAAUUCCCUAUGCGCCUAUAUUUGAUGCUUUGCAGAGGACGGUAACUCUUUCAAGGGUAGAUGUAUACAGGUUGGCACUGCUUCAUUUGUUGGAAGGAUAUCAACUUCAGCAGCUCAAGCAUUCCAAUAAACCUGCAACGUAAGGAGAUCCUAGAAAUUCAAAUCAAGGUCGACACAAUUAUAGUUGGUCCAUACUCUGCAGCAGCUCAAGCAUCCCAGUAAAUCUGCAAGAGUUGUUCAAGUGGAUUCUGAUGAACAUGUGUUGGCUACCCACCGAAGUCCCAGCAGGACAUGAAAAUGCGAUGAAAGCAUUAUGAUAUACUCCCUCCGUCCGAAAAUACUUGUCAUCAAAAUGGAUAAAAGAAGAUGUAUUUAGACGUGUUUUAGUUCUAGAUACAUCUCUUUUUGUCCAUUUUGAUGACAAGUAUUUCCGGACGGAGGGAGUACUAGGUAUUAUA